rnacentral:rRNA from 1 species
GACGAACGCUGGCGGCGUGCUUAACACAUGCAAGUCGAACGGAAAGGCCCUGCUUUUGUGGGGUGCUCGAGUGGCGAACGGGUGAGUAACACGUGAGUAACCUGCCCUUGACUUUGGGAUAACUUCAGGAAACUGGGGCUAAUACCGGAUAGGAGCUCCUGCUGCAUGGUGGGGGUUGGAAAGUUUCGGCGGUUGGGGAUGGACUCGCGGCUUAUCAGCUUGUUGGUGGGGUAGUGGCUUACCAAGGCUUUGACGGGUAGCCGGCCUGAGAGGGUGACCGGCCACAUUGGGACUGAGAUACGGCCCAGACUCCUACGGGAGGCAGCAGUGGGGAAUAUUGCACAAUGGGCGGAAGCAUGAUGCAGCAACGCCGCGUGCGGGAUGACGGCCUUCGGGUUGUAAACCGCUUUCGCCUGUGACGAAGCGUGAGUGACGGUAAUGGGUAAAGAAGCACCGGCUAACUACGUG